GAGCUGUGAAGAAAUUGGCUUUAGUGAAGGUUGGGUCCUUUGCAUUCUUCUGAUUACAAGAUGAUAGAGCCGCACCUGAGCUC